UUUUUCUUGAGAAAUUAGUUGACUUUUGUUCAUUCAGAGCUCAGCCAGCGUUUGUGUUGACUGUUCAGAGUCCACGAACAGAGGCUGUUUUUGUCAUUUUAUACCAUUAUCUCACUACUUUGAAUUUUCUUUUAGCUUUCUUCAACUGAACAAGAGGCUUCAUAAACCAUGACCUACUACAACUUUCUGCUGGAACCAAUCAGCUGUCAUGCCUGGAACAAAGA